GACGAACGCUGGCGGCGUGCUUAACACAUGCAAGUCGAGCGGUAAGGCUCCUUCGGGAGUACACGAGCGGCGAACGGGUGAGUAACACGUGAGUAACCUGCCCCAUUCAUCGGAAUAACCAGUGGAAACGCUGGCUAAUGCCGAAUACGACCACCGAAGGCAUCUUCUGGUGGUGGAAAGCUCCGGCGGAGUGGGAUGGACUCGCGGCCUAUCAGCUUGUUGGUGAGGUAACGGCUAACCAAGGCGACGACGGGUAGCCGGCCUGCGAGGGUGACCGGCCACACUGGGACGGAGACACGGCCCAGACUCCUACGGGAGGCAGCAGUGGGGAAUAUUGGACAAUGGGCGAAAGCCUGAUCCAGCAACGCCGCGUGAGGGAUGACGGCCUUCGGGUUGUAAACCUCUUUCAGCAGGGACGAAGCGAAAGUGACGGUACCUGCAGAAGAAGGACCGGCCAACUACGUG
rnacentral:rRNA from 1 species